GUUUUGAUAGACAUGCAACGAGUAGUGUGAGAGAGACGCGCACUCUCUGGGAACGGUGUACAACAGUAUGUUGAGCAUUUCAGCCCUCGUGAAUGUGAUGUUCUGUAGGAGCUGAUUGUUACGCUCUUCACCAAUCAGCUGAUGACCCUAUUCAAUAUGAAGGGGAAGGGCAAAAAAGAUAAAAUUAGAAUUGAAGACAAGAAAUUGUUUUCAGCAAUAAAAGCUGCUGUCAUGAAAUGGGACCCAGCUGCAGCAGAGUCCCAAAUAAAGUCUGCUGCAUCUUUUCAUCUGAAACAUGCCCCCGGGAGAGUCGGGGGUGGUGGCUGUAAAUGAAUAUAUUGUGGACCUUAUAGCAGCCACAUUUUGUUAAUUGUUUACUGUUUUAACCAAAUUUUAUAGCACUUUUAUUUAUAACGUUACUGUUAUGGCUUUUAAGUUUUAUUAUAUUAUUGUGUUAAUUUAUACUUGACUGUUCAGGUUUUAAGUUGUAUUGUGUUAAUUUAUACUUGACUGUUCAGGUUUUAAGUUGUAUUGUGUUAAUUUAUACUUUACUGGUUUUAAGUUUGGGUAAAAUUUGUAAUAAAAAUAUAUUUUCAGAUUUAAAUAAUUUAUUUCUUGGAGUGAUCAGUUUGUUUUACAGGAAAAUGUUAAGCAGUUUAUUACAAUUAUAUUGAUAAGAUAUAAAAAUGCAAGACUAGUAUAUACACUACACUUUUAUUCAAUUGAAUAUUCAAUAUUAUCAAUAUUCUUUAAAAUCUAAUUUAGGUCUAUGGUCUGCUUGUCUGCAGUUUCAUGACACGACAACCAUUAACAAUGAGUAACUGGGUUUUUCUCAGUGAGAACUAACUCACUGCCACUGUUUUAAAGUAAAAACGUAAAGUUGGAU